rnacentral:rRNA from 1 species
UGCAGUCGAACGGCAGCACAGGAGAGCUUGCUCUCUGGGUGGCGAGUGGCGGACGGGUGAGGAAUACAUCGGAAUCUACUUUUUCGUGGGGGAUAACGUAGGGAAACUUACGCUAAUACCGCAUACGACCUACGGGUGAAAGCAGGGGAUCUUCGGACCUUGCGCGAUUGAAUGAGCCGAUGUCGGAUUAGCUAGUUGGCGGGGUAAAGGCCCACCAAGGCGACGAUCCGUAGCUGGUCUGAGAGGAUGAUCAGCCACACUGGAACUGAGACACGGUCCAGACUCCUACGGGAGGCAGCAGUGGGGAAUAUUGGACAAUGGGCGCAAGCCUGAUCCAGCCAUACCGCGUGGGUGAAGAAGGCCUUCGGGUUGUAAAGCCCUUUUGUUGGGAAAGAAAUCCAGCUGGCUAAUACCCGGUUGGGAUGACGGUACCCAAAGAAUAAGCACCGGCUAACUUCGUGCCAGCAGCCGCGGUAAUACGAAGGGUGCAAGCGUUACUCGGAAUUACUGGGCGUAAAGCGUGCGUAGGUGGUCGUUUAAGUCCGUUGUGAAAGCCCUGGGCUCAACCUGGGAACUGCAGUGGAUACUGGGCGACUAGAGUGUGGUAGAGGGUAGCGGAAUUCCUGGUGUAGCAGUGAAAUGCGUAGAGAUCAGGAGGAACAUCCAUGGCGAAGGCAGCUACCUGGACCGACACUG